rnacentral:rRNA from 1 species
UUCGAUGAUACGCGAGGAACCUUACCUGGGCUUGAAAGUUAGUGCCCGCUCCUGAAAGGGAACUUUCCGCAAGGACACGAAACUAGGUGCUGCAUGGCUGUCGUCAGCUCGUGCCGUGAGGUGUCGGAUUAAGUUCCAUAACGAGCGCAACCCCUAUUUCUAGUUGCCAGCGAGUAAUGUCGGGGACUCUAGAGAAACUGCCCGCGUAAGCGGUGAGGAAGGUGGGGACGACGUCAAGUCAUCACGGCCCCUUACGUCCAGGGCGACACACGUGCUACAAUGGUAGGGACAGUGAGUUGCAAGCCGGUAACGGUGAGCUAAUCUACAAACCCUAUCUCAGUUCGGAUCGAGGUCUGCAACCCGACCUCGUGAAGCCGGAAUCGCUAGUAAUCGCAUAUCAGCCAUGAUGCGGUGAAUACGUUCCCGGGCCUUGUACACACCGCCCGUCAAACCAUGGAAGUUGGGGGUGCCUAAAGUC